AUUGAACGCUGGCGGCAGGCCUAACACAUGCAAGUCGAGCGGAUGAAGGGAGCUUGCUCCUGGAUUCAGCGGCGGACGGGUGAGUAAUGCCUAGGAAUCUGCCUGGUAGUGGGGGAUAACGUCCGGAAACGGGCGCUAACACCGCAUACGUCCUGAGGGAGAAAGUGGGGGAUCUUCGGACCUCACGCUAUCAGAUGAGCCUAGGUCGGAUUAGCUAGUUGGUGGGGUAAAGGCCUACCAAGGCGACGAUCCGUAACUGGUCUGAGAGGAUGAUCAGUCACACUGGAACUGAAACACGGUCCAGACUCCUACGGGAGGCAGCAGUGGGGAAUAUUGGACAAUGGGCGAAAGCCUGAUCCAGCCAUGCCGCGUGUGUGAAGAAGGUCUUCGGAUUGUAAAGCACUUUAAGUUGGGAGGAAGGGCAGUAAGUUAAUACCUUGCUGUUUUGACGUUACCAACAGAAUAAGCACCGGCUAACUUCGUG
rnacentral:rRNA from 1 species